AGCAGAACGACAGGAAGAGCGAGGCCAGCAGAACGACAGGAAGAGCGAGGCGAGCUUACUGACAGGAAGAGCGAGGCGAGCAGAACGACAGGAAGAGCGAGGCGAGCUUACUGACAGGAAGAGCGAGGCGAGCCGACUGACAGGAAGAGCGAGGCGAGCUUACUGACAGGAAGAACGAGGCGAGCAGACCGACAGGAAGAGCGAGGCGAGCAGAACGACAGGAAGAGCGAGGCGAGCAGACCGACAGGAAGAGCGAGGCGAGCAGACCGACAGGAAGAGCGAGGCGAGCUUACUGACAGGAAGAGUGAGGCGAGCCAACCGACAGGAAGAGCGAGGCGAGCUUACUGACAGGAAGAGUGAGGCGAGCCGACUGACAAGACGAUGG
ensembl:lncRNA